rnacentral:rRNA from 1 species
CAGUCGAGCGGACAGAUGGGAGCUUGCUCCCUGAUGUCAGCGGCGGACGGGUGAGUAACACGUGGGUAACCUGCCUGUAAGACUGGGAUAACUCCGGGAAACCGGGGCUAAUACCGGAUGCUUGAUUGAACCGCAUGGUUCAAUUAUAAAAGGUGGCUUUUAGCUACCACUUACAGAUGGACCCGCGGCGCAUUAGCUAGUUGGUGAGGUAACGGCUCACCAAGGCAACGAUGCGUAGCCGACCUGAAAGGGUGAUCGGCCACACUGGGACUGAAACACGGCCCAAACUCCUACGGGAGGCAGCAGUAGGGAAUCUUCCGCAAUGGACGAAAGUCUGACGGAGCAACGCCGCGUGAGUGAUGAAGGUUUUCGGAUCGUAAAACUCUGUUGUUAGGGAAAAACAAGUACCGUUCGAAUAGGGCGGUACCUUGACGGUACCUAACCAGAAAGCCACGGCUAACUACGUGCCAGCAGCCGCGGUAAUACGUAGGUGGCAAGCGUUGUCCGGAAUUAUUGGGCGUAAAGCGCGCGCAGGCGGUUUCUUAAGUCUGAUGUGAAAGCCCCCGGCUCAACCGGGGAGGGUCAUUGGAAACUGGGGAACUUGAGUGCAGAAGAGAAGAGUGGAAUUCCACGUGUAGCGGUAAAAUGCGUAGAGAUGUGGAGGAACACCAGUGGCGAAAGGCGACUCUCUGGUCUGUAACUGACGCUGAGGCGCGAAAGCGUGGGGAGCGACCAGGAUUAGAUACCCUGGUAGUCCACGCCGUAAACGAUGAGUGCUAAGUGUUAAAAGGGAUUUCCGCCCGUUAGUG